rnacentral:piRNA from 1 species
UCAAGCUACCAAUCCUUGUAA